UGAGGAAUAUUGCGCAAUGGGCGAAAGCCUGACGCAGCGACGCCGCGUGGAGGAUGAAGGCCUUCGGGUUGUAAACUUCUGUUAAGUGGAAAAAAAUACGCAGACCUAAUACGUCUGCGGGAUGAUGGUACCACUAAAGAAAGCACCGGCUAACUUCGUGCCAGCAGCCGCGGUAAUACGAAGGGUGCGAGCGUUAUUCGGAAUCAUUGGGCGUAAAGGGUGCGUAGGCGGCUUAUUAAGUCAAUUGUUUAAUUCCUCGGCCUAACCGAGGGUCAGCAGUAGAAACUAGUAGGCUUGAGUAUGAGAGAGAGAAGCGGAAUUCUCGGAGUAGCGGUAAAAUGCGUAGAUCUCGAGAGGAACACCAAUGGCGAAGGCAGCUUCUUGGCUCAUUACUGACGCUAAUGCACGAAAGCGUGGGGAGCAAACAGG
rnacentral:rRNA from 1 species